rnacentral:rRNA from 1 species
UACGUAGGGUGCAAGCGUUGUCCGGAAUUAUUGGGCGUAAAGAGCUUGUAGGCGGUUUGUCGCGUCUGCUGUGAAAUUUCGGGGCUCAACCCCGAACUUGCAGUGGGUACGGGCAGACUAGAGUGUGGUAGGGGAGACUGGAAUUCCUGGUGUAGCGGUGAAAUGCGCAGAUAUCAGGAGGAACACCGAUGGCGAAGGCAGGUCUCUGGGCCAUAACUGACGCUGAGAAGCGAAAGUGUGGGGAGCAAACAGG